UAAUGAGAACAGAAAAAGGGCAGUUGCUCUAAACAACUACCCUAUGCAGAACCGUUUAAGACGGUGGCAUAUCUUUAAUUAUUAAAAA
rnacentral:sRNA from 17 species